rnacentral:tRNA from 1 species
UCCCUGGUAGCUUAGCUGGUAAAGCAUCUGCCUUACAAUGCAGGAGAUCCUGGUUCGAUUCCUGGGUCAGGGAA